UAGGGAAUCUUCCACAAUGGACGCAAGUCUGAUGGAGCAACGCCGCGUGAGUGAAGAAGGCUUUCGGGUCGUAAAACUCUGUUAUUGAAGAAGAACGUGUGUGACAGUAACUGGUCAUGCAGUGACGGUAUUCAAUCAGAAAGUCACGGCUAACUACGUGCCAGCAGCCGCGGUAAUACGUAGGUGGCAAGCGUUGUCGGGAUUUAUUGGGCGUAAAGCGAGUGCAGGCGGUCUUUUAAGUCUGAUGUGAAAGCCUUCGGCUUAACCGAAGAAGGGCAUCGGAAACUGGGAGACUUGAGUGCAGAAGAGGAGAGUGGAACUCCAUGUGUAGCGGUGAAAUGCGUAGAUAUAUGGAAGAACACCAGUGGCGAAGGCGGCUCUCUGGUCUGUAACUGACGCUGAGGCUCGAAAAGCGUGGGGUAGCAAAACAGG
rnacentral:rRNA from 1 species